UACGGGGGGAGCAAGCGUUGUUCGGAUUUACUGGGCGUAAAGGGCGCGUAGGCGGCCUCCGCAAGUCAGUUGUGAAAUCUCCGAGCUUAACUCGGAAAGGUCAACUGAUACUGCGGGGCUAGAGUGCGGAAGGGGCAACUGGAAUUCUUGGUGUAGCGGUGAAAUGCGUAGAUAUCAGGAGGAACACCGGUGGCGAAGGCGGGUCUCUGGGCCGAUACUGACGCUGAGGAGCGAAAGCGUGGGGAGCGAACAGG
rnacentral:rRNA from 1 species